rnacentral:rRNA from 1 species
GACGUAGGGCGCGAGCGUUGUCCGGAUUUAUUGGGCGUAAAGAGCUCGUAGGCGGCUUGUCGCGUCGUUCGUGAAAACCCACGGCUCAACUGUGGGCUUGCGGUCGAUACGGGCAGGCUGGAUUCGGUAGGGGAGACUGGAAUUCCUGGUGUAGCGGUGAAAUGCGCAGAUAUCAGGAGGAACACCGGUGGCGAAGGCGGGUCUCUGGGCCGAUACUGACGCUGAGGAGCGAAAGCGUGGGGAGCGAACAGG